rnacentral:rRNA from 1 species
AUUGAACGCUGGCGGAAUGCUUUACACAUGCAAGUCGAACGGCAGCACGGGGGCAACCCUGGUGGCGAGUGGCGAACGGGUGAGUAAUACAUCGGAACGUGCCCAGUUGUGGGGGAUAACGUAGCGAAAGCUACGCUAAUACCGCAUACGAACUGAGGUUGAAAGCGGGGGAUCGCAAGACCUCGCGCAAUUGGAGCGGCCGAUGGCAGAUUAGGUAGUUGGUGGGGUAAAGGCUCACCAAGCCGACGAUCUGUAGCUGGUCUGAGAGGACGACCAGCCACACUGGGACUGAGACACGGCCCAGACUCCUACGGGAGGCAGCAGUGGGGAAUUUCGGACAAUGGGCGCAAGCCUGAUCCAGCCAUUCCGCGUGCAGGAUGAAGGCCCUCGGGUUGUAAACUGCUUUUGUACGGAACGAAAAGGCUCUCGCUAAUACCGGGAGCUCAUGACGGUACCGUAAGAAUAAGCACCGGCUAACUACGUGCCAGCAGCCGCCGCGG